rnacentral:rRNA from 1 species
GUCAAAGCUUAAUUGUACUACUCGCCCAAUACCAUACCCCAUAAUAAUCCUCACUCUGUACUGAGCAAUUCUAUACUUUUAUAGAAAAUUUUAUGUUAAAACUAGUAACAAGAAGACAGACCUUCUCUCAAAUGUAAAUGUAAAUCAUAAGGACAAACCACUGAUAUUUAACCCUCAUGAACCAAAAGUAACAACUAACCAAGAAAACCUUACUUCCAUUAACGUUAACCUAACACAAGAACAUUUCAAGAAAGAUUAAAAGAAAAAGAAGGAACUCGGCAAACUUUAACCUCGCCUGUUUACCAAAAACAUCACCUCUUGACAAGUAAUAAGAGGCCCAGCCUGCCCAGUGACUCAAUUCAACGGCCGCGGUAUCCUAACCGUGCGAAGGUAGCGUAAUCACUUGUUCUUUAAAUCAGGACUAGUAUGAACGGCAUCACGAANGGUAUACUGUCNCCNUUUUCCAAUCAGUGNAACUAAUUUCCCCGUGAAGAAGCGGGGAUAGAACUAUAAGACGAGAAGACCCUAUGGAGCUUCAAACGACACAACAACUCCUUAAAAAUUUCAGAAAGCACUAUGAUUGUCAGUUUUANGUUGGGGGUGACCGCGGGNGCAANACACAACCUCCACAUUGAAAGAAUUCUAAGCCAAGAACCACAACUCAAAGCAUCAAUACACUAACAUAAUUGACCCAAUACACUUGAACAACGAACCAAGUUACCCUAGGGAUAACAGCGCAAUCUACUUCAAGAGCCCCUAUCGACAAGUAGGUUUACGACCUCGAUGUUGGAUCAGGGUCUCCCAGUGGUGCAGCCGCUACUAAAGGUUCGUUUGUUCAACGAUUAAUAC